GAUGAACGCUGGCGGCGUGCCUAAUACAUGCAAGUCGAGCGAACAGACGAGGAGCUUGCUCCUCUGACGUUAGCGGCGGACGGGUGAGUAACACGUGGAUAACCUACCUAUAAGACUGGGAUAACUUCGGGAAACCGGAGCUAAUACCGGAUAAUAUAUUGAACCGCAUGGUUCAAUAGUGAAAGACGGUUUUGCUGUCACUUAUAGAUGGAUCCGCGCCGCAUUAGCUAGUUGGUAAGGUAACGGCUUACCAAGGCAACGAUGCGUAGCCGACCUGAGAGGGGGAACGGCCAAACGGGAACUGAGACACGGCACAAAACCUCAGGGGGGGCAGGAGGAGGGAAUUUUCCGCAAGGGGCGAAAGCCGGACGGAGCAACGCGGGGGGGGUGAGGAAGGUCUUCGGAUCGUAAAACUCUGUUAUUAGGGAAAAAAAAAUGUGUAAGUAACUAUGCACGUCUUGACGGUACCAAAGCAGAAAGCCACGGCAAAAUAAGU
rnacentral:rRNA from 1 species